rnacentral:snRNA from 1 species
GGAUGUGAGGGCGAUCUGGCUGCGACAUCUGUCAUCCCAUGGAUCACCAGGGUUGAUUCAGCUGAUCUGGCUGGCUAGGCGGGUGUCCCCUUCCUCCCUUACCCUCUAUGUGCAUCCCUCCUGAAGCUGCGCGCUCAGUCGAAGAGGACGACCAUCCCCAAUAGAGGAGGACCAUUCUUGGGUCAAGGGUAUAGAGCAGCUGCACUCCCCUACUAGAACCUCCAAACAAGCUCUCAAAAUACCCAUACAUAAGGACCCAUUCUUUUUAACCUCUUGGCUUUGCUUUGAAAGGGCUGGCAGGAAUGACUCUAUUUUGUUGUUGGGUUAGAUAAAGGGUCUCAUAUAG